rnacentral:rRNA from 1 species
UUGAACGCUGGCGGCAUGCCUUACACAUGCAAGUCGAACGGUAACAGGUUAAGCUGACGAGUGGCGAACGGGUGAGUAAUGUAUCGGAACGUGCCCAGUCGUGGGGGAUAACUGCUCGAAAGAGCGGCUAAUACCGCAUACGACCUGAGGGUGAAGGCGGGGGAUCGCAAGACCUCGCGCGAUUGGAGCGGCCGAUAUCAGAUUAGGUAGUUGGUGAGGUAAAGGCUCACCAAGCCGACGAUCUGUAGCUGGUCUGAGAGGACGACCAGCCACACUGGGACUGAGACACGGCCCAGACUCCUACGGGAGGCAGCAGUGGGGAAUUUUGGACAAUGGGCGCAAGCCUGAUCCAGCCAUGCCGCGUGCGGGAAGAAGGCCUUCGGGUUGUAAACCGCUUUUGUCAGGGAAGAAAAGGUUCUGGCUAAUACCUGGGACUCAUGACGGUACCUGAAGAAUAAGCACCGGCUAACUACGUG